rnacentral:misc_RNA from 1 species
CAAUAAAGGUCCGUGCUGAGCCUGGAUGUUACAAUUGGCGACGAGGUGAAUAUCGUGCUAUGGAAGAUGGCUGAAGGCUUCAGUUUAGCCCCAUUUGAUUUACGCGAAGAUGUGUGGGAAGAGUGGUUCGAGAGAUUUGAGUUUUACUUGGAUGCAAGAAAUGUGACUGACAAUGGCAAGAAGAAGUCCUACCUGCUUUCACAAUGCGAAGCGGCUUCCAGGGACGCCAGGAUCAUCGGAGGACAGGAGAGCACCGUCAACGAGAUCUCUGUGCCGGGUCGGGACGUGACGCCGGGUGGGAUCAAUGAAGUGCACGCCGGCCAACGCAGUCGCGAACCUACACUGGAGCCAAGAUUCCGGUCGUGGGUGAAUUCAUCGCGGACGUGAAGUACAACAACCAGGCGAGAUGGCUUCCACUGGUGGUGGUUGGAGGAGAUGGACCAAACCUCCUCGGGCGCGACUGGCUUGGGAACCUGAAGCUGGACUGGUUCAACAUCUUCUCGGUAUCGACGCCUGGGCUUCGGUGUCAACUCGGCGGUGGCGUUGUUUCAGCGAGAGAUGGAGAAGUUGUUGAAUGGUAUGCCUGGUGUCUGUGUUUUCCUAGAUGAUGUGCUCAUUACUGGGAAAUCCCAGAACGACUGCUUACAGCGCACAUCUGCGGUGUUGGAGAAGCUGCAAGAUGCCGGACUCCGUGUGUCGGAGAAGAAGUGCAAAUUCUGCGUGGACAGCGUGGAGUACCUGGGGCACAGGAUCGACGCUGAGGGCUGUCACCCCACAGAGGCGAAGGUGAGAGCCAUCCACUCUGCGCCAAGUCCCAAAAACGUGUCAGAGCUGAAAAGUUUCUUGGGCAUUCUGAAUUACUAUGCUCGUUUUCUACCAAACCGAUCUGAGGUACUGUCACCAUUGCAUGAGCUUUUGAAAAAGGAUGCUUUGUGGGCCUGGGGACCAAAGCAGCAGAGUGCUUUCAAUGAGGCAAAAACGUUGAUAACGUCGGAACGAGUGCUGGCGCAUUUUGAUCCAACCGUUCCUCUUGUGCUCACUUGUGACGCAUCCUCUGUUGGCAUUGGCUCAGUGCUCUCACACAGAUACAGGGAUGGGUC